rnacentral:hammerhead_ribozyme from 1 species
AUCUAGCUGACGAGUCCCGAGUGGGACGGAGCACGCGUCCUGGAU